AUCCAACACACAGCUCAGUCAGUAGAGCGUGAGCCUCUUAAAUUCAAGGUUGUGGGUUCGAACCCCAUGUUGGGCA